rnacentral:rRNA from 1 species
AGAGUUUGAUCCUGGCUCAGAACGAACGCUGGCGGCGUGCCUAACACAUGCAAGUCGAACGCGAAAGGGGGCAACCCCCGGUAGCGUGGCAGACGGGUGAGUAACACGUGGGUAACCUACCCGGAGGUGGGGGAUAACCCUUCGAAAGGAGGGCUAAUACCGCAUGACACCGCGGGGACCUCGGUCCUUGCGAUCAAAGCUGGCCUCUGUUUACAAGCUAGCGCCGCCGGAUGGGCCCGCGCCCCAUUAGCUAGUUGGUGAGGUAACGGCUCACCAAGGCGACGAUGGGUAGCCGGCCUGAGAGGGCGAUCGGCCACACUGGAACUGCGACACGGUCCAGACUCCUACGGGAGGCAGCAGUGAGGAAUAUUGCGCAAUGGGCGAAAGCCUGACGCAGCGACGCCGCGUGGAGGAUGAAGGUCUUCGGAUUGUAAACUCCUGUCGAGUGGGACGAAUGCCGUGAGGGUUAAUAGCCCUUGCGGUUGACGGUACCGCUGGAGGAAGCCCCGGCUAACUCCGUGCCAGCAGCCGCGGUAAUACGGAGGGGGCUAGCGUUGUUCGGAAUCAUUGGGCGUAAAGGGCGCGUAGGCGGCCGAUCAAGUCGGAGGUGAAAUCCCUCGGCUCAACUGAGGAAUUGCCUUCGAUACUGUUCGGCUUGAGUCCUGGAGAGGGUAGCGGAAUUCCCGGUGUAGCGGUGAAAUGCGUAGAGACCGGGAAGAACACCAGUGGCGAAGGCGGCUACCUGGACAGGUACUGACGCUGAAGCGCGAAAGCUAGGGGAGCAAACAGGAUUAGAUACCCUAGUAGUCC